GAUGAACGCUGGCGACGUGCCUAAUACAUGCAAGUCGAGCGAAUGGAUUAAGAGCUUGCUCUUAUGAAGUUAGCGGCGGACGGGUGAGUAACACGUGGGUAACCUGCCCAUAAGACUGGGAUAACUCCGGGAAACCGGGGCUAAUACCGGAUAACAUUUUGAACCGCAUGGUUCGAAAUUGAAAGGCGGCUUCGGCUGGCACUUAUGGAUGGACCCGCGUCGCAUUAGCUAGUUGGUGAGGUAACGGCCCACCAAGGCAACGAUGCGUAGCCAACCUGAGAGGGUGAUCGGCCACACUGGGACUGAGACGCGGCCCAGACUCCUACGGGAGGCAGCAGUAGGGAAUCUUCCGCAAUGGACGAAAGUCUGACGGAGCAACGCCGCGUGAGUGAUGAAGGCUUUCGGGUCGUAAAACUCUGUUGUUAGGGAAGAACAAGUGCUAGUUGAAUAAACUGGCACCUUGACGGUACCUAACCAGAAAGCCACGGCUAACUACGUGCCAGCCGCCGCAGUAA
rnacentral:rRNA from 1 species